GUUAAUGACCUUGUUGAGGAACUGAAAGCUGAAGUUGCCACUGACAAGAAAACCCUGUUGCUCCAAGUAAAAGGCCUUGUUCAAGCUGUAACUUCAACACUCAAGAAUACCCUGAAUGAAGAUGAACAGGCAGAUAUUAAGAAAUUACUAGAAC